rnacentral:rRNA from 1 species
UACGUAGGUGGCAAGCGUUGUCCGGAAUUACUGGGCGUAAAGGGCUCGUAGGCGGCCAACUAAGUCGGAUGUGAAAUCCCCAGGCUCAACUUGGGAACUGCAUCCGAUACUGGAUGGCUUGAAUUCGGGAGAGGGAUGCAGAAUUCUAGGUGUAGCGGUGAAAUGCGUAGAUAUCUGGAGGAACACCGGUGGCGAAGGCAGCCUUCUGGGCCAACACUGACGCUCAUGCACGAAAGCGUGGGGAGCAAACAGG